rnacentral:rRNA from 1 species
UACAUAGGGGGCAAGCGUUAUCCGGAAUUAUUGGGCGUAAAGGGUGCGUAGGCGGCCAUUUAAGUCUUUGGUAUAAGUGCAGUGCUUAACGCUGUGAUGCUAAGGAAACUGAAUGGCUUGAGUGAGAUAGAGGCAAGUGGAAUUCCAUGUGUAGCGGUAAAAUGCGUAAAUAUAUGGAGGAACACCAGUGGCGAAGGCGGCUUGCUGGGUCUACACUGACGCUGAGGCACGAAAGCGUGGGGAGCAAACAGG